rnacentral:rRNA from 1 species
UACGGAGGGAGCUAGCGUUGUUCGGAAUUACUGGGCGUAAAGCGCACGUAGGCGGCUUUGUAAGUUAGAGGUGAAAGCCCGGGGCUCAACUCCGGAAUUGCCUUUAAAACUGCAUCGCUAGAAUUGUGGAGAGGUAAGUGGAAUUCCGAGUGUAGAGGUGAAAUUCGUAGAUAUUCGGAAGAACACCAGUGGCGAAGGCGGCCACCUGGACGGUAACUGACGCUGAGA